CGCUGGUGGUGUAGGGGUUAGCACGCAACCACAUAAAGAGGCUAUAGUCUUCGAAGCAGCUGUCCCGGGUUCAAGUCCCGGACCUGGCGA